UGGGGAAUAUUGGACAAUGGGCGGAAGCCUGAUCCAGCCAUGCCGCGUGUGUGAAGAAGGCCUUUUGGUUGUAAAGCACUUUAAGCGAGGAGGAGGCUACUUGGAUUAAUACUCUAGGAUAGUGGACGUUACUCGCAGAAUAAGCACCGGCUAACUCUGUGCCAGCAGCCGCGGUAAUACAGAGGGUGCGAGCGUUAAUCGGAUUUACUGGGCGUAAAGCGUGCGUAGGCGGCUUCUUAAGUCGGAUGUGAAAUCCCUGGGCUUAACUUAGGAAUUGGAUUCGAUACUGGGAAGCUAGAGUAUGGGAGAGGAUGGUAGAAUUCCAGGUGUAGCGGUGAAAUGCGUAGAGAUCUGGAGGGAUACCGAUGGCGAAGGCAGCCAUCUGGCCUAAUACUGACGCUGAGGUACGAAAGCAUGGGGAGCAAACAGG
rnacentral:rRNA from 1 species